rnacentral:rRNA from 1 species
ACCUGUCACACUAUGGGAGUUGUCUUGCCCGAAAUCAUCACCUUAACAGUAAGGAUGGGAUGCCAAAGGCAACCGUAGGGACUAAAGUAAAGUCGUAACAA